rnacentral:rRNA from 1 species
UACGUAGGGUGCGAGCGUUGUCCGGAAUUAUUGGGCGUAAAGAGCUUGUAGGCGGUCUGUCGCGUCUGCUGUGAAAAAUCCGGGGCUCAACCCCGGGACUUGCAGUGGGUACGGGCAGACUAGAGUGUGGUAGGGGAGACUGGAAUUCCUGGUGUAGCGGUGAAAUGCGCAGAUAUCAGGAGGAACACCGAUGGCGAAGGCAGGUCUCUGGGCAUUAACUGACGCUGAGGAGCGAAAGCGUGGGGAGCGAACGGG